AGAACUAUGGAAUCAAAAUGCAGAAUUAUGAGGCAAACAGCUUGUAGCGAGGAGCUUCAAGAAAGAGAGGCAAAACUGAACAGAGAUCCAAGAUGAAGCUGAGACCCAAGAAAACACUUAAACUUGUGCUUGAGUUCAGUAGGAGGAAGAGUGCACCUCUGGUAUUGUGGUAAUGCCACUAUGUGCCCUCCAGAAAAUGUGAGGUGUUUCACUCCAUUAAACCUCCCACUCUUGCGAUGCCGUAUUGCUCUCUUCCCAUGCAGACAAACCAGAGCACAGAGCCUGGCUCCGUGACCACUCGCUACAGGGAAGGAGUCCUGCUCGCCGUGGUGGGAAUCAGGGCAGGAAUGCAGUACUGGAAGAUCCAGGAGCACAGUUGAAGGACUUCGCCAAAAAACGACAGGAGAGCAUGCAGAGGAAGAGGUGAGAGAAGGACAUACUGCCCUUAACAGCAGUGCCUGUUCACUUUGAGCAGACAAUUUAUAUUUGGUCACUGGAUAAUUUAUAUUUGGCCACUGGAUGGCUCAGGUAUUUUUCUGUAGAUGGCACCCAGUGCAAUGCAGCCUUUCUCUGCAGCAGUGCCUAGGCUAGCCGUGAGGAUGCGUUUUCUCACGUCACCGCCCCUUUCUCCCGCUAAUACCAGGCUGUCCACACUCAGACAUGUUCACACAAGCAAGAAAUAUCCAAACACAAAAAAACGGUGUUUGUACUUGAUCACGGUGGAUUUCAGUCUUGUGUUGUUACAGAAAUCAUUGGGCUCUCAGUGACACAAAAGCGGGUUGAUAUAAUAGGGGAUGGAUGAGGUUGCAUUCAGUGUUUACCCAGCUUUUAGACUUGCGCACAUUCCUCAAAGCAAACACAGCAAGAGGGUUUAAAUUUCUGGUGCUGUGGUCAGAUGUUACUCAAGAACGAGGAGGAAGUUAAAAAAUAACUGGAGCGAACCUACAUACUGCUUAAAAUGCAUUCGUCCCAGCUGCCGAAGCCGCAGCAAGGAGGCUGGGUUUCGGGGCAGGCCCGGUCCUUGCCGACCUCGGGGCACAGCGGGGUCAGGGGCGCCACCGCACCCUGCUUGGUUUUGGCUUCGGGCAGGUGCCGGCGGUGCAAAUCGGGCCUGGGCGGGCCAUGGGGCGCCCCACGGGGCCACACCGGUCCUUCGGCCCAGCGGCCGGGACCCAGCAGGGAGCCUGCAGCCCGCUGGAGGGGGGCCGCCCCCGGGCCCCGCCGCCUCCAAACCAAAGGGGCCCUUGGCCACCGUGCAGGAAACGUGGCUUCCCAGCGGCGUUGCCAUGGCAACGGGGAAGCAGGCCCGCUUUCCUGGCAACGGCGCUGAAGGAGCAGCUCAUGCGUGGGUGCGCCAGGCAGCCCUGCGCCACACACCCUCACUAUAACCACCGAUAUGCAGCCAUAUAUAUAUAUGUGUGUGUAUAUAUGUAUUUGGAGGGAGGUAGAAAGCCCUUACAGAACCUGUUUGAGGAAGUAACCCGAACGGCUCUUGCCAACCGGAGGACGGAGAAGCCAGCUCAGGCAGGAGGGUCCUGGCUCUCCCGAGCGGCGUGGCGGUCGCCGUGCAAACACAGCCGCCUCCGGCCCCGUGCCGCGAGGCGCCUCCUGAGGAGCGGGCAGCCCUGCGGGGAAAGGGCGGCGGUGCCUCGGCCGCAUGGCCUGCGCGGGUGCCCAUGGGCCCGGGAUGCUCCAGGAGGCUGGAUCGCUGCCAGGACUCUUCUGAUUCAGGAUACGCUGCAUCGCGAAGCCCAAGGUGGUAUUUAUCCCCCUUUCUUCAGGGGAUAAAUUAGAGGUGUGAUUAAUUUUUCAUUUCUACCAGCAUAAACCAAGAGCAUCCUGUUGACGUCAUCAGAAUUUCACUGGUAUAAAACUCUCCAGCUUUUUUGGCCCCGAAAUCAGUACCAACCGUUGCAAUUCCUAUUGAAUACUGUUCACCUCAGCUAAAACUUUUGACUAAGGGCAGCCUGUUUUCAUUGUUUCCAAACCACAUGCCAUGGGAUUAUGGACCGCUUGCAAAUGUGAGAACCACUAAAACAAAGCCAUUAAAUGUGAAAGAAGGUCACCUGGUCCUAUUAUAACAGUAACCAAUACUACACAAACUAGACUAAUUUAAAUUUAGAAAAGUAGCAAUUGUAUACAUUGCAAAAUAAAAGCUCUCUCUUUUUGAAGCUCACCUUAUUUUCCAAGAUAAUUUUAUUACAGCAUACUUCUGAAAUAUGUUCACUGAAAUAUAGGGUUCUGCCAGGUAAAAAUCUGCAGCUGUUUCCGUUUCCAGAGGAAGAAAUCAGAUUGGCAAAAUGGAAUUAUUCAAACUGGAGUUUGGCCAGAGUGAUAAAAAAAGAUCAGGUGGCAAAAUGUGAGAAGAAUUCAGCAAAAAGAAGAAAAGAUAUUUAAGGAAAAUGAAGCUUCUUUUGCCUAGCUCACUGCAUUUUGCUUGUCCGAUGAUGCUGACGUCUCAGACUGUAAGAGGUACCUACGUGCUCAUGGGAUCCCCCUCACUGCAAAGUGAAUGUGGGGCAGCGGGAUCCCACUGUUCUGGCCUUAUAUCCGAACAUCCUUGGUCUCACUAUAUCACGGAUGCUUGCUUAGUGUUAUAAUUAAGGCAGAGUCUCUUCUGUGGGAGUGUGCGAAGUAACAUGCAAAUAUGUCAGUUCAUAUUUAGACUACUACUAAAAUUCAUUUUGCAUGCCCUUGUGAUCAUUUGCACUAGUCAUUGGUUAUUUCUUCCACGCAUCUAAGCAGCGCUUGUCACUUCACUGGCUGCUCUGUUUCCCAUGCAGGAUCAGGUGCGGAUUUGGCUUUUAUAGCAGGAUUGCCAAAGAAUAGGACAGCGAGCAUCCUUUUCUGUGCUCUCCCGUCACUCACCCCACUUCCCCAUGGGCGUAGUGCUCCUACACCUAAAACCUCAAAGUGGUGUUCAGCUUAGGAGCUUGAUCUGCGGCUUUCAGGGCUGAAAGGUGGUGCUGCCUUUUUAGACUGCAUCACCCAAAAUGUGGGAAUUGUCUGACAAGUAUUUCUGCAAUUCCAGGUUCACCAUGCCACAUGCUUAUCUUGCCAGCAACGGAAGCCAUGGAUGUGUGCACUGAGCAAACCCUUACUUGCCCAGGAGACGCCACGAGGAACCUCUCUGGGCUCCUUGCAGCAGAAGCAGAGAUGGGCACUGAGACCCAGCAGGGAUCUGGACAGCCCUGAGGGGGGAUGUGGGGAGUCUGCAGGGCUGCAAGGGGAUACCUGCUAAUGCACUGGACUGAUGGAUAAGUAAGGGCAGGAAGGGUGGGGGCAUAGAGUUCAGAGGUCAGAUCCAGCCCAAAAUAUAGCCAUAUAAAAGCAACAUGACCCCAGUGAUUUUGGAAGCAAUCAUUAUUUGCAUCUGAAUCAUGACUUAUAAUUUUUUUUAUAUUGACUUUUAUUAUUACCUGGGGCAAAAUAUGCUUUGCUUUCAUUGUGCUGAGCUCCCAUUGCAGAGUUCAAGGCCACAUUUAGCUUAAUACUUAGCUGUUUUUCUCUGGAGUUUGGCAUCACGUUAUGUACAGAAUGAUCUAAAUUUACUGAAGCUUUAUCACCUGCUUCAGAAAAAAACACCUCCUUUUUCUCACUGAAUCUUGAAGUUAAGGAGCAGUGAACUCCAAAGAGCCAGAGCAAGCUGAGCACAGUUGAGACUCAUGUAAUCAAUAUGUUGAUGUGUCUAAUAAUAAUUCAAAAAUAUUGUUAUGUCAGUUACUGUUUCCUGCAGAGUUUUAUUUUUAAUUUAAUGCUGUAGAGCACAUAGCCUAAACUCUUUCAUAGAUUUACUUUGACUCUUUCUCUUCUGGGUUUCCAAUUUUGCUUUGAUACAAUCUUUUAAAUUGUAAAAUAUUUAACAUGGGGAGGGUGAAAACAUUUUAAUCAUUCAGAUUUCUAUUAAGAGUCUUUAAAUCACAAACCUAAUGCACAUUUCCUUGCUUGGAAAACCUGUUUGUGACCACCCAGACUGUCUGCAGCAGUCUGAGAGCAGCUCACUAUGUCCCAAAGCGCCUUGCUGUCUAGCCAAACUGCCGAAGUCCUGGACCUGCAAAGAUAAUGGAACAGGAUAGGACCAUGACAUAAAAGGCAGGAGGGGCCUGGGUUAUAUCAAAUACCUUAGGUUAUUCCCGGCUUCAUUCUGGACAGGCAACAAUGAAAUCUGGUUUUGUGACUUUUUAACCUCUGAAGUACUGUGAGCCUGAAAAAUGACUGAUGAGAACAAGGAAGUGGAAUUGAGCAGUCCAGUUUUGUUUUUUAGAUAUAGUGAAAAAAUACACCAAGGUAAACAAGGAAGCAGUAUAUAUAGCUAAGCUUGUUAAGGUAACUGUAAAACAUACCUAAACCUGUACCCUGCGGAAUUUAUGAUCUAAAAGCAUUCAAACUAAAUCAGAUGUUUAAAUCUUGUGGACUUGAUCUGGGGUAUUUAAGGGACAAUGAUUUAUGUGAUAUCUGUGUGUGAAAAAUAUAAAUUCCCUUUUAAUAGUCCAAUGA